CAUUAGGCAGUUCAUGAUUGGCUGGUUCCAUAUAAGGUGGUCUUCCCUACCCAGGAUUCUUGUCUUGUGUACACAAGGGGCAGUCCCAGAUGGAGGAGUCAUCUUAGUCUCUGUGAACUUUACUCGAUGGAAGGGGGGAGAGAAGGAGCUAGCAGCCAUUUUAAAUAAGGAAUGUAUAACAAGUGAAAUUAGCAUUUUAUAAUUCCCUCACAAUGAAUUAUUACUAUCCA